rnacentral:rRNA from 1 species
CGCGUAGGUAACCUGCCUUGUAGCGGGGGAUAACUAUUGGAAACGAUAGCUAAUACCGCAUAACAAUGGAUGACACAUGUCAUUUAUUUUGAAAGGGGCAAUUGCUCCACUACAAGAUGGACCUGCGUUGUAUUAGCUAGUAGGUGAGGUAAUGGCUCACCUAGGCGACGAUACAUAGCCGACCUGAGAGGGUGAUCGGCCACACUGGGACUGAGACACGGUCCAGACUCCUACGGGAGGCAGCAUG